rnacentral:rRNA from 2 species
GGAUUCCCCUAGUAACUGCGAGUGAAGCGGGAAAAGCUCAAAUUUAAAAUCUGGCGGUCUUUGGCCGUCCGAGUUGUAGUCUGGAGAAGUGCUUUCCGCGCUGGACCGUGUACAAGUCUCUUGGAACAGAGCGUCAUAGAGGGUGAGAAUCCCGUCUUUGACACGGACUACCAGUGCUUUGUGAUGCGCUCUCAAAGAGUCGAGUUGUUUGGGAAUGCAGCUCUAAAUGGGUGGUAAAUUCCAUCUAAAGCUAAAUAUUGGCGAGAGACCGAUAGCGAACAAGUACCGUGAGGGAAAGAUGAAAAGCACUUUGGAAAGAGAGUUAAACAGUACGUGAAAUUGCUGAAAGGGAAACGCUUGAAGUCAGUCGCGUCGGCCGGAACUCAGCCUUGCUUUUGCUUGGUGCACUUUCCGGUUGACGGGCCAGCAUCGAUUUUGACCGUUGGAAAAGGGCCAGGGAAAUGUGGCACCUUCGGGUGUGUUAUAGUCUCUGGUCGCAUACAGCGGUUGGGAUCGAGGAACGCACCGCGCCGCAAGGCAGGGGUUCGCCCACUAUCGCGCUUAGGAUGCUGGCAUAAUGGCUUUAAACGACCCGUCUUGAAACACGGACCAAGGAGUCUAACAUGCCUGCGAGUGUUUGGGUGGAAAACCCGAGCGCGUAAUGAAAGUGAAAG